AUGUCUGAGGGUGAAGAAACUGAGGCUGAGCCUUCUCAAUCCUCCUGCCCUGCGUAUGCGGAGCUGUUAGAGGUUAUGGAGCGCGCCACGGCAAAGUUGGACUUGCCAUGGAAGCGUGCCAGCAAAGUGACGCCGCGUGGUCGCCUCGAUGAGCGUUAUUUGUCUGACCAUAGCCCUCCAGCCCAGGUGAGCCUUCCAUUCUUGCCUGAUUUACAUACAGAAAUCGAAAAAGAAUGGAAGAGACAGUUUUCUUCUCGCAUCCAUUGGUUUCAGCAUACGAGUUAUGCCAACAUCGAGGGGAUGCGCAAAAGCGGCUAUGAGAGGAUGCCCCCUGUAGAAGAGAUGCUGGCUAGCUAUCUCUCUGUGGGGGAAACAGGUCAGGCUGUGGCUUCGUUGCACACAAUGGCAGUGCUUCAAGCUUAUCAGGCUGAUCUGCUGAAGAACCUGGAUAAGGCGAGGGCCUUUCAGCUGACCAGGUAGCCGAGCUGCGCCGCACCACAGACCUCUCUCUCCGUGCUACCAAGCAGGCCGCCUCCGCCAUGGGUAGGUCUAUGGCGGCCAUGGUGGUAACGGAGAGACAUCUGUGGCUGAACCUGGCAGACAUCGGGAGGAAGGAAAGGGGCUUUCUUCUCGAUGCUGCUGUCUCGCCUUCCGAACUUUUCGGUACCUCCGUCGAGACGGUGGUUGAGAAGUUCAGGGAGGCGAGGAUGCGCUCGGCUGCCUUUAAAUCCUUCAUUCCACGAAGGUCCAGGUCCGAGCCCGAACAACAUAGGGGUCCUGGCCCGUCUCGGUCUGAGGAUCAAAGACGGGCGCAGAAGGCUAGUGACGCGGCUUGCGCUCCUCCCCCGCCUGCGGGCAGGGGUAAGAGGAAUUGUGGGUCACGAGGAGAUAAGCAGGACCUGAGGGAUGUGAUUCAGACGAGGCAGCGUACUCGUCCGAAUCUGAGCAAUACCUAGGUAGCUACUCAUUCCCUUUGGGUGGUCUUUAAUUUCUGUUUUUAUCCUCCCCUGCCUAAUUCCCCUGUAACCACCAGCUCUCCACCUGAUCGAGGUUAGGUGGAAAAUUCUUGACAUAACAGUCUCCUAUGCUGGACCUAUGAUGUUUUGGCUGGUUCUAUGUUCAUAGCAACCACCUUACUGAUGGUCCGGACUAAAGGAGGCGCCCCUUGAGCGGGGCUCCAGUGCAGGAGGGUGGGUGAGUAUGUAUCCCUUUCUGUAUAUAUUUAUGUGUAUUAAAUUGCUGGUGGUUAUGUGUCUACUAAUAAACUCUGUGAGCUUCCUUUACAGUGCUAAGCAGUUACGUUGUUUACGUCCGGCCUUGUGCUCUGGUUUAGGCGACUGAGAUCACAGGUUUCUGCGGGAGCCUCGCUGAUCAUCAGACAGCACUGAAUUUCAUGGAUGUCCGGCCAGGUCACUCUGAGGGGCCUUCUGGCCGCUUAGUGGUGCUGUCGCAUCCAGCGGGAAGUGGAGGUGGUAGUUACGGAAGACUUCCUGUAUACACUGCCUCAGGUGAUGCUCCCCUCACCAGAGGUGUUCAAGAUUCGAGCUUGCCUCUCCCGUGCGGUUCAGCGUCUCUGCGAUGCUUAGGAACCUAUAAGUACACACGCUAAGCUCUGUGUACUUUCUGGAAACCACAUGGUGGUCAGUGUGCAUGUGAACACUUAGCACACUUUCUAAAUCCACGUAAGUGGUAAGUGUGCACGCAAGACUCUGCGCAUUUUCUAAAAAUCCUGUACGGUAAGGGUUACGCGCUCCGCCUCGUUGCCUUUCUUGAGAUGAUUCGACCUUGGUUCCUUGGGCUCCAUUCAGCCAGUAUGUAUUUGUUUAUACACUUCAAGCAUCGCUCCCCUCAAUAUGAGGGGCUAUUUGGGUGAUUCUCGUGGUAGUUUAGCAGCGCUCCCCUUUUCCAAGAAGGGUCACCUAUGAGCGCGCUACUCUGAAUUCGGAGUUCUCCUCUCAUAUGAGACUGAGUUCGCUGUUUUUCCCCAGAGCGCUCCAGCAUUAUGUCCAGAUCGAGUUAUGACUCUCAAACAUACUGUAUUUGAGAUGCAAAACAAUUUCAUCUAUGAGCUGCUCUAUCAGAGUGCCACGAGAGCCCCUCCUUAAAACAGAAUUUGAAAAUCCAUGCUAUGGUAAGUGUGCACGUGAAGUCUUUGCACACUUUCUGAAAUCCACACUGUGGUAAGUUCGCACACUAGUACUCUGUGUUCUUUCUAAAAAUCCUAUGUGGUGAGGGCUUCGCGCAGUUGCUUCGUGCCAUUUCUUGAGUUGGUAAAAAGCCCCGUUGAUCUUGGGCGCCACUCCACCUAUGUAUCCUCGGAUACCUAUUUAAACAAGGUGUUACUGGAGAUCUGUUGAGACAGCUCCUUCAGCAAGCUUAUGCGAAAGCAAGCAGUAGCCCCUGUGUGACAGGCAAGACUUAGUAUAAAAAUGCUAGGUUCUUGGCCGUAUCCCUUUAAAGGAAUCUUUCUUGAUUCCAAGCCUUUAGCUCUACCACCGGGCCGAGGCCCUAACAAUCAAGUUUGGUAUGUAGCUUAGGCCUUUGGCCGUAAGGGGUACUGUCACAGACAGCCGUCUAACAUCCCAGGGGCAACUCCCAUGGAGUUGGAACUUAGUGUUCGCCAUGAUUAUGGCCUGCACUCCCCUCAGCAUGGCGGCAUGGGUAUACUGUUCCCCAUAGCGACCCCUAGAGGACGCAGUUCGAAGUUCCCUUGAAAGGGAAUGUCUCAGGUUACGAAUGUAACCAUGGUUCCCUGAGUAGGGAAUGAGACACUGCGUCCUCUAGCUCCCUGCCAUGCUUCGGACGCAAGCUUCAGACGAAGAGGUGUCGCCGGCCAACUCGUUGGUGUUUUUUCAAUGUAUGCUUCAGACACGGGUCACGACGAGGUGUUCCCCAUAGCGACCCCUAGAGGACGCAGUGUCUCAUUCCCUACUCAGGGAACCAUGGUUAAAUUCGUAACCUGAUACGUUCUGUUCUAUACAUAUUGUUUUAAUGUACUAUUGUGUAUGCCUUAUUAAAUGCUGGAGAUGUGACAUGAGGAAAAGGGAGGAGAGCUGCUGCUGUAGCAGCAGCAGGAGGAGGAAGGGGAGGAUUGGUUCACUGAAGACAGAACACCAGAAAUAGCAACAGCACAUGUAAGAUGUGUACAUUACUACUGAAAUACUUGUUGUUUUGAUCACAACGCUUGAUGAAUUAUCAUAAUUCCAUUUUUUUCUUUGAAGACAGCUCUUCGGUAGCUCUUCAAAGAUGAAGACCAGGCCCAGCUUGAAACAGUAAAGAUACAUCUCAGUCACUGAAACGGCCAAGAAAGAGGUACAGGUGAACCGGAGCUUCCCAGCAGUCCUAAGCUAAGUGGAUCCUAUCCUGUGCUGAUGGCAGAAGAGGGACCAAAUGCCAAUGCUGGCCAACUUGGCAAAAAAUAAUCUCUGUGUCCAGGCCUCUUCUACACCUUCAGAGCGGGUGUUCUCAACAACGGGGGACACAGUUAGUCUGGAGCGGGCAUGGCUCUUACCUGAAAGAGUCGACAUACUGAUUUUUCUCAAAAAGAACUGCUAGAUUAGUUAGUUUUGAUUUAAUUAAAAAUAGUUUAAUGCCCUUAAUGUUCAUUGGUCAUUUGUUUCUACUUUUUUAUUUAAUUUAUCUUUUAGACACACAUAACUGCAUUAUCACACUAUGCCCUGGAUGUUGUAGUUUCAGGUAUGAUUUGGGGAGGUAAAGAGAGGAUUUAUUUUGUCUAGUGUGCAAAAUCUCUAAAUAAAUAACAAAAUGUUGACACUGAGAGAUUUGGACAUUUUUUUUUUUUUUUUUUUUACUGAAAUAAAUGUUUGUGUUAUCACACAGAGUGUAAAAUACCGAAAAAGGUAUUGUUGGGUACAAGUACCAAAUACCUGUACCGGUUAAAAAUGUGAACAGUACCCAACCCUACUUUAUAUCCUUCUAAAAACGGGGAGUGCAGAUCCCAUCUGAACUUGUUCUUGAGUCAGUCAUAUUAGUAUAACUCAUGGAGUCCAUGUCAAUAAUGCAGCAAUGUGAGAGGUAAUGCUAACUUAGUCACUUCCAAAUUAGGCAGCUUAUGAUAAAUGUGGCAAAUUCACGUGUUCAAGUUCACAAAUUUUAAUGAAUCUGAGGUGAAGUCCAUGAAUAAAUUCCGCUAAAUUCUUGAUUGCACAAUUCCUAGUGAGGUGAUGGGUUUUUGGCUGCCGAAUUCUCCAUUUAAUUAGAUAUUGAGCAAUAAGCAAGCUAUUGAUAAUACUGAAGGACUUUAUAGAUACUGGUGUCAUAUGCCUAUAGGUAGAUGUGGAUUAGCUGAGAGUCAGGUGAUACGAGCUUGCCUAACGUGACCUGCCAGAACUAAUGCUACUCUUGAUAUGUGAGUGUUUCUGUUAGAAACAAUGGGUCUCAUUCACUAAUAAAUGCAUGUACUACACAUAGGAUAAUUUAUCACCCCCCCCCAAAAAAAUGUAAUAAUCAAAAUCUGUCUAAUUCAGAGUAAGUGCGUAUACACAUUAUUUUAACCUUGUUUGAAUCUUAAAGAAUUUGGAUGAUUCUAAAUAUGCAACGAGUGCCCAAGAUCAGUAAGUUAUAUAAAACACAUCCUUACCAUCUCCAUAAUUGGAAUUUCUAAACUUUUCCUUUCCAGCCUUUCAUCACUCUCAGCAAAAUGAUGCUCUCUAAAAAUGUGCCUAAAAAGGCAUAGGUACAGGUACAGCAUGAUUCUUGAGCAAUGCCAAAUA
ensembl:lncRNA